GGGGAUCUAGCUCAUCGGUAGAGCGCUCCCUUAGCAUCACGUAACCAGCUUACGUAAGCAGUUGGGAGAGGCGCCGGGUUCGACUCCCUGGUUCUCCA